rnacentral:rRNA from 1 species
UGGGGAAUUUUCUGCAAUGGGCGAAAGCCUGACGGAGCAAUACCGCGUGAGGGAGGAAGGCUUUUGGGUUGUAAACCUCUUUUCUUAGGGAAGAAGAUCUGACGGUACCUAAGGAAUCAGCAACGGCUAACUCCGUGCCAGCAGCCGCGGUAAUACGGAGGGUGCAAGCGUUGUCCGGAUUUAUUGGGUUUAAAGGGUGCGUAGGUGGUUUAUUAAGUCAGUGGUGAAAGGCUACAGCUCAACUGUAGGAGUGCCAUUGAUACUGGUAGACUUGAGUUUGGUCGAGGUAGGCGGAAUUUAUGGUGUAGCGGUGAAAUGCAUAGAUACCAUAAAGAACACCGAUAGUGAAGACAGCUUACUAGGCCUGAACUGACACUGAGGCACGAAAGCGUGGGGAGCGAACAGGAUUAGAUACCCGUGUAGUCC